rnacentral:rRNA from 1 species
GACGAACCGUGCAAACGUUGUUCGGAAUCACUGGGCUUAAAGGGCGCGUAGGCGGGUGGUCAAGUCAGGGGUGAAAUCUUUCGGCUCAACCGGAAAACAGCCUCUGAUACUGACCGUCUUGAGCGAGGUAGGGGCAUGUGGAACUUCCGGUGGAGCGGUGAAAUGCGUUGAUAUCGGAAGGAACGCCGGUGGCGAAGCGAACGUGCUGGACCUCUUCUGACGCUGAGGCGCGAAAGCUAGGGGAGCGAACGGG